GCAGAUGAAUGGUCUCUCUGGCUACCUUUAGACUUUCUUAUCAGCUUGCAGCUGAGCCCGUGCUUUCCCCACACCCCACUUCGUAAUUUCUGCAUGUUUGGUUGUUCAUUGCAGUGUGUUUGGAAGCAGUUAAACCUGUGGUGCUGUGAAGAAUCUGGCCAGCAUACAGGUUCCCAGCCCUGAAAGUGAUACAGGUGUCAGCACAACCCAGCAGGCUUGACCCAGCUGAUCCACACCUUCCAAAUGUGCCUUUAGAGGCAACUAGAAACACCUGCCCUGCUUAUGAGAUGUUAAAAGUGUAAGGGUUCUCACUAAGGUAGUGCUCUAAGAUUUAGGUAAGGUGACUGUGACUGUCUCUGUUAUGAGGAGCUAGGCAGGCUGGUGCUCUGGUCUUGCUUGUGAUGCCAUAUGCAGCAGAAAUCAGAGCUGUCUUCUGGCAAAAAGGCUCAAAGGUCCCGCUGAAGGAGCAGAAAACAAGCUGGGAUUGUUCCACCUGCAUAGCUGGCCUUCAGCUUUCAUGUAGCCACACACUCUCUGCAAUACCAGGGGGACCCACCUGUGCCUCCAGCGCUGCCAUGUCUUGGGACAGAGAUGUGGGGUCCUGUGGUGAGAGGCAUGUCCCAUGUGUUGGGGUGUGUGACCGGGUGUGGAGCUGAAGCUGGCCCUGACCCUCCAUCGUGGUGGAACUGGGAGCAGGCUCCUUGCUGCUUGGAGGAGGGACAGAGGGAACCCAGAGCUCAGCACUGCCUCAGAGAUUGUUGCCAAGAGGCUAAUCGUCUCCUUGCGGAGGCACUAGUGGAAGUGAUUGAGACGAAGGGGUGUCACAUCAUCUUGAUGCUGAAGAGCAUUUGUGGAAGUGGUUUUUCUGUAAUGAGCCAUAACGUGUUGUGUCUUCGCACACCUCUGAACAAGGCUAUGAACACAUCAGAAGAUUUUUCUAACAACUGGGUCAGCAGAAAAACAAAAGGAAGGUGGGAGCUGCAUCUGAAUACUUUAAACAGCUAAUUCUAGUGGCAACCAGUGGCACAACAGAUGCUUCAUGAACGGGUGAAGCAUCUCAGGUGUGUUGGUGGAGACACAACGGUGUGGAGAGGAGGGAGUUUGAGCAAGAAGAUAGAAACUGGACUCUCUGCUCCUCUGCAUCUCUGGGCUCUGUGACGUGAUUUGCUCAGUGUCUCACCAUGCCAGCGUAUCCAUAGCGAUGCUGAGAGACUUAAUUCACAGUGAGCGAGUUACAUCCACAGCAGCGCUGUGUGCCCCCCAUACCUGUGUGUAGCUCGGUGCAGGAGCAGCUUUGUCCCCACGCUGUCCUGUACUCGAAAGGGAAGCACAGGGCAGUACCCUGUGGCCAAAGCCACAGCUGCGGCAGCACCUGGGGAAGUGUUGGGAGCGCUGCUGGCUCUUGCCAAGAUGUGCUUGGGCAGACCAGGGUGCUCUCCUGGCGUCUGACCACCUGUGUGCUCCUGAAACAUCCCUGCUGGAAAUGACACAUCCCUGUGGGUCAAAAAACCUUUCUGAAGAAUAAGUUUUUAGCCUGGGUCUCCCACACCCAACGCUCAUAACCUCACUGCUGGUUCACUUUCCGGUAGGGACAGACUAUGUUACAGAGCCAGAAUUUCAUGGGCAAAUAAGUCCCAGC
rnacentral:lncRNA from 1 species